rnacentral:rRNA from 1 species
UUGCACGCUGGCGGCAUGCCUUACACAUGCAAGUCGAACGGUAACGGGCCUUCGGGUGCCGUCGAGUGGCGACCGGGUGAGUAAUACAUCGGAACGUGCCCGAUCGUGGGGGAUAACGAGGCGAAAGCUUUGCUAAUACCGCAUACGAUCUACGGAUGAAAGCAGGGGACCGCAAGGCCUUGCGCGGACGUUGCGGCCGAUGGCAGAUUAGGUAGUUGGUGGGUUAAAAGCUUACCAAGCCGACGAUCUGUAGCUGGUCUGAGAGGAUGAUCAGCCACACUGGAACUGAGACACGGCCCAGACUCCUACGGGAGGCAACAGUGGGGAAUUUUGGACAAUGGGCGCAAGCCUGAUCCAGCCAUGCCGCGUGCAGGAUGAAGGCCUUCGGGUUGUAAACUGCUUUUGUACGGAACGAAAAGCCUUCUUUUAAUACAGGAGGGUCAUGACGGUACCGUAAGAAUAAGCACCGGCUAACUACGUG